GGGGUCUGAACUAAGGCCUGCCGGUGAGGUGGGGCUGAACUCCAGGAACCCCGGAAGGCUCCACCUUUUCAGGAACUUGUCAUCAUUAGGGUCUUCCCCAGAGGCAAAGGUAAUUUGUUAUCAUCACUGGUCUGCUCACCUAGGGUUAAGGAAGGAGAAAUGUGAACUCUGUGGAGUGAUGUGGCCUCGCAGUGUGACCGGGCUCCCUGCUGCUGAAGUUUGAUUGAUUUGACUGACAGUGUGAUUGUUGGAGAAGGUCAAUGGAGAGGAAGUAACCUCUGUUGACCUGAGAGCUGAACCCAGGCAAUCGUAGGUCCCUCACCCCCCACCCCUCCCCUGUCAUUGGAAUGUACAUUCUGCUCACUGUUCCCACAAUGGAGCCACUUCAAGGACACAGCCUUGGGAGAGCAAUGUGUUGUUGAGACCAUCUGGACUGAAAGUGUGGCUGAACCCAGUUAAGGCCUCUGUAUAAACUUAGAAGAUUCUGGCAGGUGGGCAUGGAGAUCUACCUGUCUUUCGGCCACCCAAGCCAAGUAUGGUCUCUCAGUCCCCUUGCUUAGUCAACCUGCCACCUACCAAUCUGGAGUGGCCUUUCUUCCCUCUCUGCUGACCCUCCACGUUCGGGCCAGUUUGUGAACCAACAGUGAUCUACGGUGAAACAUUUGAACCUCUUUAGGAGCUGAGUAAGAGCCUGAAGCAAGUAGACAAAUUGAAAUUAUUUUCUCAGCCUGUGAGAAAGAGAAUGGUCUGAGGAGAGUCCUGCCAGAAAGGAAAAUUCUCUCAUGCUGGUUCUUCAUGAAAAACCUCUCUGGAAUAAUGCUUUGGGGUCAGGGUCCUGGGGUCCAUUUGGUUUAGUUCAGGCAGAUUUGAGACACAAGUCGGUGUGGCCCACAUGCCCAGUGUCCAGCUGCAUAGUCAUCUGACCGCAGGCUCCUACAUCACAUGAAUUCAGGAACUCACCUCACACCAGAUCAUGUCUGGCUGCCAUUUUAUGUCCCUGCUAACCUCACUUGGGUGGCAACAGAAGACAGAUGAAAGAAUGGAUGAAAAUAUUGCUCUGUAGUAAGAUGGAAGAGGCUGUGUAAAGCUAACAAAGAAACUUACAAAGAAAAUUGGCUUGAAAUUCUGCUUAAAAGGGACUAAACUUCACUGCAACGGACGUAAGACAACAUACUGAAAAGCCAAACCUCUUUCAUCUGUGACUAAAGCUCUGAAGUUCAGGGGCCUGUAUUCAGAGUCUGUUCAGAUUUGAAACAUCACAAGUGAUUCAUUAUUUAUAUUUGCACAGGAAAGAGAAGCUCCUCUAACCUGCA